GACGAACGCUGGCGGCGUGCCUAAUACAUGCAAGUAGAACGCAGUUGCGAACGGGUGAGUGACGCGUAGGUAACUGCCUGGUAGCGGGGGAUAACUAUUGGAAACGAUAGCUAAUACCGCAUACUACCAGAUGGACCUGCGUUGUAUUCGCUAGUUGGUGCGGUAACGGCUCACCAAGGCAACGAUACAUAGCCGACCUGAGAGGGGGAUCGGCCACACUGGGGCUGAGACACGGCCCAGACUCCUACGGGAGGCAGCAAUAGGGAAUCUUCGGCAAUGGGGGGAACCCUGACCAAGCAACGCCGAGAGCGUGAAGAAGGUUUUCGGUUCGGAAAGCUCUGUUGUUAAGGAAGCGGUACUUAACCAGAAAGGGACGGCUAACUACGUGCCAGCAGCCGCGGUAAUUC
rnacentral:rRNA from 1 species